UCGGAAACAGCCGCUGGCAAAGAGAGCUUCGGGGAGCAAAAGCCAAGUAUAGCAUCCAAAAUGUUAGAGGUUGGAAUGGUGGAACUAAAACCACAUCCUGUACGCAGCAUGUGAGGCUAUAAAACCCAUUUCUUCCUUGCAGAGCCACUGACAUGUCCCUUCACAAGAUGCACGGCUGGCUAUGACCCGUUUCAGAAUUUUUGUGGCAUCCCAUGUUGGCCGCUACGAAUUUCUACAUUAUGGGUAGCACCCGUGAUAUAGCCUACUAAAUCACUCAGCUUUGACACUGAGGCACAACUCU